rnacentral:siRNA from 1 species
AGCCCAAUAGGUAAGUCCAUGCGA